GAAAAAAGUCAGAAUUUAGAAACUUUGAAGAUACAUCAAUGCCAGAAAAUAAAAACUUCAAUCCCACGUUCUUUUCAUUGAGAAAACAAAAAGUUAUCAAUUUCAAAUGUUAAAUUACCAUAUUAUCAUAAUUUCGCCAAAAAAGAACAGAAAUUAGCCUACCAAGUUCAAAUUUGACUUGAAAAUUCGUUCAGGGAAAAAAAAAAACUAAAGAUCUUUACUUUCCUUCUCCUUUUCCCUCCAUUUACGAGCAACCAAACAAAACAGAAACGAUUCAAAAUUCAAGAAGUAGAAACUCAC
rnacentral:misc_RNA from 1 species